CAGUAGCCGCGGUAAUACGGAGGGGGCUAGCGUUGUUCGGAAUUACUGGGCGUAAAGCGUACGUAGGCGGCUUUGUAAGUUAGAGGUGAAAGCCUGGUGCUCAACACCAGAACUGCCUUUAAGACUGCAUCGCUUGAACGUCGGAGAGGUGAGUGGAAUUCCGAGUGUAGAGGUGAAAUUCGUAGAUAUUCGGAAGAACACCAGUGGCGAAGGCGACUGACUGGACAAGUAUUGACGCUGAGGUGCGAAAGCGUGGGGAGCAAACAGGAUUAGAUACCCCGGUAGUCCCUGUCUCUUAUAC
rnacentral:rRNA from 1 species